UACGGAGGAUCCGAGCGUUAUCCGGAUUUAUUGGGUUUAAAGGGUGCGUAGGCGGACUGGUAAGUCAGCUGUGAAAGUUUACGGCUCAACCGUGAAAUUACAGUUGAUACUGUUGGUCUUGUGUAUACAUGAGGUGGGCGGAAUUUGUGGUGUAGCGGUGAAAUGCUUAGAUAUCACAAAGAACUCCAGUUGCGAAUGCAGCUCACUGGGGUAUAACUGGCGCGGAUGCACGAUGGCG
rnacentral:rRNA from 1 species